UCUUUAAUUGCCAAAGGCAAAGGUUUGAUAUUACAUAACUUCAAAUCCGUUUUUUUUUGCGUAUACAUUAUCUAUAUUUUCUAAACUGUAGUGAAAUUUACUUGUAUUCUCAAGAGCUUAUUAUGAAAAUCGCCUUUACAAUCUUUUGUAUGGUCGUUUUGAGCUUAUUUGGAGACACAGCAUGCGCUACUGACCAAUGCAUCAGAAAUUGUAUAGAUAGUUCCAGUAGCUGUAUCAGAGGUUGUGGUGGAAAAUUUAUUUUCCAGAUGUUGUCAUGUCAUUCAAGUUGCAAAACGCAAUGUGUACAAUGUACCGUCAAGUGCCCUAACAGUUCAGGAAAAACUUGUAAAUUUUAAGUCAUAAAUAAAAAAAAAUAUCGUUUCGUGUUGUAAUA